CCAGUUUGCACAUUUCUAAAGCAUAAGAUCUACUACUUAAGCAUGUGUUUGCUGGGUUUAUCCAAAAGAAUAAAUUGGAAGUGGAUUUAGAGUCUGAAUCUCUUCUUCCAUCUACAUUAUUUUCCAUCUCUCAGGGGUGUAAUUAUAAGGAAGCCGGUACGGCAGGUCAUCACAUUGUAUUUGUUUCUUGGGUGUAGAGGUUUCCAUGGGCACUGGAGAUAACCAGUACCGUCAUUUUGACAAAGGUUCACUCUGUACCUACAGUCCUGACUACUUUUCUGCUCUCAGCAGCCGUACAGAUCCCUACCAAUUCUUAUCUCCAAUAUAUUCCUUGAGGAGUUCAUCAGUCUCUUGAAAAACAGAUCAUGCCUGACCUUCUGUGAUUGUUCAGAUGUAUUUACAUAAUGUUGAAAUUCUGUACAUAGUUAUGACUCUGUGUCUAUAUUUACCAAGAUAACAGCUCUGUGGUAGUUACAUAGAUCUUAUCUCUAGGUUUUGUUUGUUUAUAUUCUCACUCCUCCAUGGUGGGCUAAAAUCUGAAAGAAUCAUAGUAAAGAUAUCACAAUAGACAGAAAUAAUUCUCUAUAGACAGAAAUAACUCUUUAUUCAAAUACAGACACUCCAGACAAAGCCAAGCUGAUCACAUAUUAAGUCCUAGACAGAAGUCUGUUGGUGUUUCACUGAUUUAUAUGUGCAUUGUACAUAUGCCAUGAGACUAAAGAUAAAGUUUCAUACAUUAUAUAUCACCCAAUGCCGUGAGGCUAAAGUAUUUUCUCUCCUCUCUCUCUCCCCUCUUAAAAAGUCCAACUUUGAUUUCAGUCUCUCUCAAAUUUUUUCUCACUAUUUCUAUUUAUCACUGAAACCUUUGGAAACAAUAUGGUUUAAAUCAUUAAUUCAUAGCCUUUUUAUUCUUUCUAAUCCAGAAAGUCUUCCCUCUAGCAUAGGUUGUCUCUCAUUGUUAGUCUGUGCUUUUUUUUUUUCUUUUUUUUUUUUUUUUUUUUUUUUUUUUUUUUUUUUUUUUUUUUUUUUUUGGUUUUGNNNNNNNNNNNNNNNNNNNNNNNNNUUUUUUUUUUUUUUUUUUCCUUUUUUUUUUUUUUUUUUUUUUUUUUUUUUUUUUUUUUUUUUUUUUCCAUCAGUGAGUUAUACUGUUAGGUAUGGAAGUGAUUUAUAA
rnacentral:lncRNA from 1 species